AUUGAACGCUGGCGGCAGGCCUAACACAUGCAAGUCGAGCGGAGAGGCGGACGGGUGAGUAAUGCCUAGGAAUCUGCCUGGUAGUGGGGGAUAACGUCCGGAAACGGGCGCUAAUACCGCAUACUAUCAGAUGAGCCUCGGUCGGAUUAGCUAGUUGGUGGGGUAAAGGCCUACCAAGGCGACGAACCCUAGCUGGUCUGAGAGGAUGACCAGACAAACUGAAACUGAGAAACGGUCCGUACUCCUACGGGAGGCAGCAGUGGGGAAUAUUGCACAAUGGGCGCAAGCCUGAUGCAGCCAUGCCGCGUGUAUGAAGAAGGCCUUCGGGUUGUAAAGUACUUUCAGCGAUGAGGCGUUACUCGCAGAAGAAGCACCGGCUAACUCCGUGCCAGCAGCCGCGGUAAUAC
rnacentral:rRNA from 1 species